UGUAUUAUAAUGUAUUUAUAUGUUAUAAUAUAUUUUUAUAUUAUUAUAAUUUAUAUUGAAUAUUAAAAUACUUUUUUAAAAUUAUUUCAAUAAAUAUAACUAAUUUUAUUUUAAAUUAGGUUAUCUAAAAAGAAAAAGAUAUUUUGUAAAAAAUGAAUAUUAAUAAGAUAUACGAAUAAAAAAGUUUGUUAGAAUUAUUAAUAAAAUUAUUAAGGAUAUAUUUAUUUUAAAAAUAGAUUUAUACAA
rnacentral:tRNA from 1 species